rnacentral:rRNA from 1 species
UACGUAGGGGGCAAGCGUUGUCCGGAUUUAUUGGGCGUAAAGAGCGUGUAGGCGGCCAGGUAGGUCGGUUGUGAAAACUGGAGGCUCAACCUCCAGACGUCGACCGAAACCAUCUGGCUAGAGUCCGGAAGAGGAGAGUGGAAUUCCUGGUGUAGCGGUGAAAUGCGCAGAUAUCAGGAGGAACACCGAUUGCGAAGGCAGCUCGCUGGGACGUUACUGACGCUGAGACGCGAAAGCGUGGGGAGCAAACAGG